GUGCUUGCUUUGGCAGCACAUAUACUAAAAUUGGAAUGAUACAGAGAAGAUUAACGUGGCCCCUGCGCAAGGAU
rnacentral:snRNA from 1 species